UGCAAACUGCGAAUACCGGAGAAUGUUAUCACGGGAGACACACGGCGGGUGCUAACGUCCGUCGUGAAGAGGGAAACAACCCAGACCGCCAGCUAAGGUCCCAAAGUCAUGGUUAAGUGGGAAACGAUGUGGGAAGGCCCAGACAGCCAGGAUGUUGGCUUAGAAGCAGCCAUCAUUUAAAGAAAGCGUAAUAGCUCACUGGUCGAGUCGGCCUGCGCGGAAGAUGUAACGGGGCUAAACCAUGCACCGAAGCUGCGGCAGCGACGCUUAUGCGUUGUUGGGUAGGGGAGCGUUCUGUAAGCCUGUGAAGGUGUGCUGUGAGGUAUGCUGGAGGUAUCAGAAGUGCGAAUGCUGACAUAAGUAACGAUAAAGCGGGUGAAAAGCCCGCUCGCCGGAAGACCAAGGGUUCCUGUCCAACGUUAAUCGGGGCAGGGUGAGUCGACCCCUAAGGCGAGGCCGAAAGGCGUAGUCGAUGGGAAACAGGUUAAUAUUCCUGUACUUGGUGUUACUGCGAAGGGGGGACGGAGAAGGCUAUGUUGGCCGGGCGACGGUUGUCCCGGUUUAAGCGUGUAGGCUGGUUUUCCAGGCAAAUCCGGAAAAUCAAGGCCGAGGCGUGAUGACGAGGCACUACGGUGCUGAAGCAACAAAUGCCCUGCUUCCAGGAAAAGCCUCUAAGCAUCAGGUAACAUCAAAUCGUACCCCAAACCGACACAGGUGGUCAGGUAGAGAAUACCAAGGCGCUUGAGAGAACUCGGGUGAAGGAACUAGGCAAAAUGGUGCCGUAACUUCGGGAGAAGGCACGCUGAUACGUAGGUGAAGCGACUUGCUCGUGGAGCUGAAAUCAGUCGAAGAUACCAGCUGGCUGCAACUGUUUAUUAAAAACACAGCACUGUGCAAACACGAAAGUGGACGUAUACGGUGUGACGCCUGCCCGGUGCCGGAAGGUUAAUUGAUGGGGUUAGCGCAAGCGAAGCUCUUGAUCGAAGCCCCGGUAAACGGCGGCCGUAACUAUAACGGUCCUAAGGUAGCGAAAUUCCUUGUCGGGUAAGUUCCGACCUGCACGAAUGGCGUAAUGAUGGCCAGGCUGUCUCCACCCGAGACUCAGUGAAAUUGAACUCGCUGUGAAGAUGCAGUGUACCCGCGGCAAGACGGAAAGACCCCGUGAACCUUUACUAUAGCUUGACACUGAACAUUGAGCCUUGAUGUGUAGGAUAGGUGGGAGGCUUUGAAGUGUGGACGCCAGUCUGCAUGGAGCCGACCUUGAAAUACCACCCUUUAAUGUUUGAUGUUCUAACGUGGACCCGUGAUCCGGGUUGCGGACAGUGUCUGGUGGGUAGUUUGACUGGGGCGGUCUCCUCCUAAAGAGUAACGGAGGAGCACGAAGGUUGGCUAAUCCUGGUCGGACAUCAGGAGGUUAGUGCAAUGGCAUAAGCCAGCUUGACUGCGAGCGUGACGGCGCGAGCAGGUGCGAAAGCAGGUCAUAGUGAUCCGGUGGUUCUGAAUGGAAGGGCCAUCGCUCAACGGAUAAAAGGUACUCCGGGGAUAACAGGCUGAUACCGCCCAAGAGUUCAUAUCGACGGCGGUGUUUGGCACCUCGAUGUCGGCUCAUCACAUCCUGGGGCUGAAGUAGGUCCCAAGGGUAUGGCUGUUCGCCAUUUAAAGUGGUACGCGAGCUGGGUUUAGAACGUCGUGAGACAGUUCGGUCCCUAUCUGCCGUGGGCGCUGGAGAACUGAGGGGGGCUGCUCCUAGUACGAGAGGACCGGAGUGGACGCAUCACUGGUGUUCGGGUUGUCAUGCCAAUGGCACUGCCCGGUAGCUAAAUGCGGAAGAGAUAAGUGCUGAAAGCAUCUAAGCACGAAACUUGCCCCGAGAUGAGUUCUCCCUGACCCUUUAAGGGUCCUGAAGGAACGUUGAAGACGACGACGUUGAUAGGCCGGGUGUGUAAGCGCAGCGAUGCGUUGAGCUAACCGGUACUAAUGAACCGUGAGGCUUAACCUUACAACGCCGAAG
rnacentral:rRNA from 1 species